rnacentral:rRNA from 1 species
CCUACGGGGGGCAGCAGUGAGGAAUAUUGGUCAAUGGCCGAGAGGCUGAACCAGCCAAGUCGCGUGAGGGAAGACGGCCCUACGGGUUGUAAACCUCUUUUGUCGGGGAGCAAAGAGAGUCACGUGUGACUCAUUGAGUGUACCCGAAGAAAAAGCAUCGGCUAACUCCGUGCCAGCAGCCGCGGUAAUACGGAGGAUGCGAGCGUUAUCCGGAUUUAUUGGGUUUAAAGGGUGCGCAGGCGGUGGUGCAAGUCAGCGGUCAAAUUGCGGGGCUCAACCCCGUACUGCCGUUGAAACUGCAUGCCUUGAGUGCGCGAGAAGUAUGCGGAAUGCGUGGUGUAGCGGUGAAAUGCAUAGAUAUCGCGCAGAACUCCGAUUGCGAAGGCAGCAUACCGGCGCGCAACUGACGCUCAUGCACGAAAGCGUGGGUAUCGAACAGGAUUAGAUACCCCAGUAGUC